AGCGAACGCUGGCGGCAGGCCUAACACAUGCAAGUCGAGCGCGUGUCGCAAGACACGAGCGGCAGACGGGAGAGUAACACGUGGGAACGUACCCUUUGGUUCGGAACAACCCAGGGAAACUUGGGCUAAUACCGAAUAAGCCCUUACGGGGAAAGAUUAUCGCCGAAGGAUCGGCCCGCGUCUGAUUAGCUGGUUGGUGGGGUAACGGCCCGACCAAGGCGACGAUCAGUAGCUGGUCUGAGAGGAUGAUCAGCCUCACUGGGACUGAGACACGGCCCAGACUCCUACGGGAGGCAGCAGUGGGGAAUAUUGGACAAUGGGCGCAAGCCUGAUCCAGCCAUGCCGCGUGGGUGAUGAAGGCCCUAGGGUUGUAAAG
rnacentral:rRNA from 1 species